CCACCUGCACCCCCCAGGCAGAAAAGGCCUUGGUUUAAUAUCUCAUUCCAAAGACAGCAGCACACCCUCUAUACUGCACUGCAGUCCUAACCUAAUUCCUUAAACUAGCCUCUGAUCUUUGAGAAUGUAUGUCAGUGUAUCGCUCUACCUACAUAAUUUUCUGAAGGGUCUCGACCUGAAACGUCAGCUUUCCUGCUCCUCUGAUGCUGCUUGGCUUGCUGUGUUCAUCCAGCUCCACACCUUGUUAUCUCACAUAAUUUUUAACAUUAGAUCAUACAAUUGUUACAAGUGAGAAGCAGGCUAUUCAGCCCAAAAUCUCUUGCACCAGUUCUCGGAAUGAUUAAUUCAUUUCUUCCUGUGACCUUGUUCAUUCAUUCUUUAUCUGGUAAUGUCCCUCUCUGCUGUGUCCAGACUCCUCAUGAUUUUAAACACCUUGAUCAAAUCUCCUCACAAUUCUCCCAACUUCAACUGUAACAGGGAUUCCUUAUCCCAGGAUCAAUUCUGAAAUAUCUUUCCACAUUCUCUCCACUGUCUUCAUAAUCCUCUUAAGACAUGGUACCCAGAAAUGGAAACAACCCUAGUUGAGGCUGUCCUAGAUUAAGAUAAUUUCCUCAAUUUUGUAGUCUAUGCCCUUAUUGAAAAUACCCACAUUCUGUAUUAAGUGUUGUCUCUUUAUCUAUCGUACCACCUUCAAUGAUUUCUGUGUACUUAUUCCACCUCUGUGCCUCCUUUAGAAUGAUACCCUUUUUUAAAUAAAAAUGAUUCUCCACAUUCUCCUUCCAAACUUAAUCACUUUACCAUAUUUCUCUGUACUCCAUUCCAUCUGGCACUUGCCAAUGCACCAUCUUGUCCAUGUGCUUUUGAAGUUCUGUGCAAUUUUUUGUUUCAUUGUUGACAAUGCUUCCAAGUUUUGUACUAAUUGCAAAUUUCAAAAUGCCCUAAAUGCUAAGGCCUUGGUCAUUUAUAUAAAUAGUGAAAAGCAAUAGUUCUGAUGUCAACUCCUGGGGAUUACUACUGUCAAAUAUCCACUAAUCACAGCUCUCUAUCUCCUGUCACUCAGCCAAUUUCAUACAGAUGUUACAUGUCUCUUUCACUCCAUGAUCUCUAACUUUGCUCACAAGUCUGUGUGGCACUUCACUAAAAGGCUUUUGCACAUUACAUCAGCUUUCAUUGUUACUUCAUCAAAAAAUUCCUGCAUGUUAGUUGAACUGAAACUGCCCUUGAACAACUUGUAUUGGCUUUAAUGAACUCAUUUGUCCAAAUGAUAAUGAAUUUUGUCCCAAAUUGCCUUAUCUAAAUCCUUCCCAACAAAUGAGGUUAUACACUUUGAGUAAGGUAAGUUCUAACUGUCCCGCUAUUAACUAGGAAGGUUAAAAAUAGGAUCAAAUUUAAAGAUAAUGAAUAUAAUUGUGCAAGGACAAGUGACUUGUCAGAAGAUUUGAUGGAACAUAUAAAAAUCAAAGGAUGACUUUUAAGAAAAAAGAGAAAAACUUGAGUAUAAGGAAAAAGCAAGCUGGAAAUAUAAAACAGACGGUCAGAGUUUCUACAAAUAUUUAGGAAGGAAAUCGGCUAACAAAAUGAGUCUGGUCUGGAUAGUUAAUUCAGAAUCAGGAGAUGGCUGAUGAAUUAAAUAGAUAUUUUGCAUUAGUCUUCAUUAUUGAGGAUAUAUGUAACAUCUCAGAUGCAGUGAUAAAUCACAAUAGAAGGGAAGGAGGAAAAUCGUAGGGAAGUGUUACUGAGUAAAUGGUUGGUACUGUGGCUCUGCAGUAACUGGGUCCCGAUCAACUUCUUCCUGGGAUUUUAAGUGGCUAGUGAGAAAGCUAACGGAUUGAUUUUAAUUCUCCAAAGCUCCUUAGAUUCGAAGAAUGACCCAUUUGCUUUAAAAAUAGCAAAUCUAUGUUAAAAUCUUUCACAGGGAAAAUGUUAGAAUUAUUAUGGAGCGUUUGUCUUAUGAGGAGAUGUUGAUUGGGUUGGGACUGUAUUCUCUGGACUUUAGAGGAACAAAAGUUGACCUUGCUGAAAUGUGCAAAAUUUUUAGAAUCUCAGAUUUUCCUUGUCCCUUUCUGCUCUUUGGCUACGACUAUCCCAGUCUAUAUUUGGGCACCUCACAUUGAUUAUUAUAAUUACUGUACAAAAGCUGUUAUUUGGUAGUACCUUACAGAACUUGAAUCUUGCUGAAAAGAGAACCGUGUUUGCAGCUUCUCAUCUUGUUCUCAGGACUAAUGCAAGAAUGCCAUAUUUAAAAUGAUCAUAACAAUUUCAGCACGGGGGGAAAAGAAGACAGCUGAUUAGUUGGAAAACUGACUCUGACCAAGAAUUUGUUUCUCCUGUAGAAUAAAUCACUGUAUAAUCCUUUCCCCUCUAAUUAUCUUGCAGAUGUGAAUAUCAGCAUCUUUACUACUGGUUGGUGACCUAUAGAAUACACAAAUCAUUCUGUCUUUAGUUAACUCGCAGAAACGAGGGAGCCAUCGGGUAUAACUUCCGCUGCCAACUAACCUGAAGGGGUGAUGUCACCAGUGAUCCAGACAUCGAGGCUGAUGCUUGGGGAGAGUGGGGCACGGACCCUGGUUCAAAUCCCACCAUGACCGCUGCUUUAACAACGCAAUGAUGCCCUGAGGUAUAUGGGUGAGACCAUGAAGACACAAUGACAACUGAUGAAUGGACACCAUGCACCAAUCACCUGACAGGAACAUUGUCUCGGUCAAGGACAUUCAGCUUCCGAUCCUUGGAGACCUAUUAUUCGACCUGUUGACUCUCCACUCACACCACGUGUACGAUCUUUUCAUCUCUCUGAUUAUAAAUUCUGUGUAAGUGCUCUCCUCACUUCAUCUGACCAAGGGGCUGCGUUCCAAAAGCUUGUGAUUUCAAAUAAAACUGUUGGACUAUAACCUGGCAUCAUGUGGCUUCGGAUCUUGUCCACCUCAGUUCAACACUGGCACUGCCACUCCAAAGGAUAAGGCAAAGAACUGGUUUCUGUAUGUCAACAGAAUAGUAUGGACUGUACAAAGGAUAUCCAGGACCUGCUGUCAUUUGAUAAAACUGUUUGCUGCUCCAGGAUCAAGUAAUUCAAUGAAAUUUAAAUAAAACU